rnacentral:lncRNA from 1 species
ACUGCUGUAACAGCCAUAGCAGAAGCACUCACAACGCAGACCUGUCAGAUUCUAACGAAUCUGCAAAGUCAGCU